AUCUUGUGAUAUGCUUUCUAGAAUGGCCAUCUAUAUUUAAGUUAAUAAACGAUCUUCCACUUCCCAAGCUGAGUGGAGGGUGUGAUAGAUAAAAAGAAUGACCUGUGAUAAAUUGUAGAUGUUCAAAGAAGCAGGGCAUGUUCAAGCAACAAAAUACAGACAGUCACAUGAAAAAACAAUGGAGAAAGGAAUGAAAAGUAGUAUCUAUUUAGGAUAAUUAAUAAAUGUAUUAGGAAUAAGGCAGAGUAUAAAACAGUGAUUAACAUACUAAAGAGGUAAAACAUUCUUCAGUACUAAGCAAUAAUGUUCUUGUAGACAUUGCUUUUUAAAUCUCAUGUAAGAUGUCUAUAAAAGCAGCUUUCUACCUUUCAAAUACAACAUAAAAUUCGAGUGAAAAUCAUCUACUUGCUUUGCAAUGUAGCAUCAGUUACGUUUUGUAUCAAGAUUGGAAGUUUCCUGUAUAGAAAUUUGAUUCUGCUAUCUGGUGAUACAAAAGAGUGCACGGGGAUAAAAUUAGCAUGUUUAAGUAAUGGUAAUUUUGUUUGUAGGAAAGUUUCCUUGUCUUUAUUAUCUUUUUGUAUAUUCUCUUCUUGUAGCUUCAGUACCUUUAAUAGAGUCUUUGAAUUAUAUUCAUUCUAAAAUUCACAUAAUUGGGAUGCACCUAAUUUUGGUAGAGGCUUUUAUUUUUGUUGUAUAAAUUUCUCUAGUCUCUCCUAAGGCCUUGUUAGAAAAGAAGCACAUUCAGUUAAGGCAAGGAAAUAACCAAGGCUAGUUUGGUCACCUUAGGUCUGGCAUACAUUAUGCUAAAUGAUAGUGUUCAGACUUGGUAAUUACUAAAUCUUCAAGUAUUUAGAUUGACCUCCUCCUAACCAAACCUUAAAAAAACAAUGUGGCAAAAUGUCAAGGUCAUGAGACAAAAAGAAAGGUUAAUUUAUCCUGGAAUAGAGGAAGAAUAAAGGACAUUACUGGGGAAAUUGACCAAAUUAGACUAUGGAUGAUAGUUUAGUUGAAAGAAAUGUAUUUAAGUUAAUUUCCUGAAUUUGAUAAUUGAAAUGAGGUUGUAUAAGAGAAUAUCUUGAUUCUUGGGCAAUGCCAUAUUCAUGUAUUGACUUGUGUAAAAAGGUGAUGUGUAUAAUGUAUACUCAAACACAAAGGGAGUGGGGGAGAGGGGGGAGGGAGAUAGAGAGAGAAGGGAGAAUGUGGAAAAACAUUAAAUAUUGAUAAAUCUUGGUAGAGGGAAUCUAGGAGUUCUUUUUUAUUCUGGUAAAAUUUCUCAAAGUUUAGAAUUAUUUCAAAAACGAAAGCAUCAUUAUGAUAUGGCAGCGACCACAACUAGAUAAGGUAGAAAAUGCUUACUUCACUUUUUUCUUUUGUGACUGUGUUCCUUUUUCUAUGAUCUUGCAUAAUGUUUUGACCAUUUUAAACACAUUGGCUGAGAGUUUUAAGAAGAAAAGCAAACAAAGAAAAGAAAUAGGAAAGCUUGAUAUUUCUCAAUUAGUUAUGAGACAGCAAAGACUUUGCAAUUUCUGUAUUUUGGUAGGUAAGUUAUAUGGCUUUUCUUGAGCAGACUAUAUGAACUUGUUUUCAAUCAAAGACAGAUGGAAACUUUGAGGAGCUAUAAAUAUUUGUUGUUUUGGAAGAAACUAUUUGGAAUUGCAUAGCUUGUUAUUUUUUUUUAAAAAGCAACAAGACAAAAACAAUUACCUUGAACUCUUAAGGUGCCUACUUUGUUUUUGUUAUUUAAAAACAUUUCCUGUUAGGAAGUCCUGGGAGAUGAGACAAGUUUUGUGUUGUCUCGCAUUUAGUAUUCAAACUGAAAACUGGUGUCAUCAUAAAACUUUGUUCUGAAGAUUGUGAUUCCAUGAAUGGGUGCAUUGGGGUUGGAACUCCGAGGGCGGGGAAAAAAAAAAAAAAGCAGAUCAUGAG
ensembl:lncRNA